ensembl:lncRNA
AAUUCUAUGUUAUAGGCAAACGAUAAGAAAAAUGAGUAAGGUUUAAAAAAAAAAAAAAAAAAAAAAAAAAAAAAGAGGGUUAUAUACAUAUAUGAAUGAACAUAUGUUAUUCACAACUACCAAGUCAUGCAUUUUCAAAGAAUGAACAUAUUUUAAGUAAAUCUAUCAAAUGUUUUCAUGUGGAUUUGCUUAAAAAAAAAUUCUCCUUCAAUUGUAUAAAGGGACAGUGUUUGUUCAUUUCGUUAUUGAUCCCUUAAGUACAUAAGUGCAUAAUCACACAUACCUUACCUGUACAAAUAUGCUCAAACACGUACAUAGUUAGGGUAAUACAUAUUACUACAUUUGAUUCCUAAAAAUAUGACAGGCAGUUUUUGGAGUUUUAUAAAAAAAAAAAAAGAUAAUGAUGGUGAGUCUAAAGCAACCGUUGCUCAUUUAGGAGAAGAAAAUAAAUUUUAUUAUAAUAAAGAAUUGAAUAGAUGGGUAAUAAAAGGUGAAGAAGACAAAGUUACGAAUGAUGAAGGAAUACCUGCACCACCACAAAUGAGUAGCUUAAAAAAUGCGAAUCAAGGUUAUCGCUCGCUAAUGCAACAAAAGUAAAUUUUCAUGCCACUUUCGAUAAUUGUAUAUGUACGUACUUAUGUUAAUACUUUUCUUUAUGAAUAUGUCUAGUUUAUGUUUUGCAUAAAAAAAAAAAGUGCAUAAAAAAAAGCGCAUAAAAAAAAGCGCAUAAAAAAAAGCGCAUANNNNNNNNNNAAAAAGCGCAUAAAAAAAAGCGCAUAAAAAAAAGCGCAUAAAAAAAAAGUAGAUAAAAUUGAAGGAAGCUUUCCUAAUUUAUUUAUUUUGUCACGUCACGUCAUGUCAUGUCACUUUUAAUUUUGCUUUAUUUAUAUCCUUCUGUUUAUUUCAUUUUAUUUGUUCCGCUUUACCUUUUAUUCAGUAAAACCAGAAAUGCAAUGACGAUAUAUGCGGAGACCCCAGGGUUGAAGAUUAUGAAGAAGAAGAACGCUCCAGUACAAGGAGGGAUAAUGCCUCGAUAUUUGGGAGCAAAACAUAAUGAAUUAAAUAGUAGCGCAACAGAAAGUAGUAAAAAGGAGCCAGUAGUAGAGUCGAAUGUAUUUCUUCCUUCUAUAGGUAUACCUGAAAAUAAACAGACGAGUUUGUUUUCAGUAACAACAGAAAAUGAUGAAAAAAGUGAUAAACCUAAUGAAAUGGGCCAAAGGGAAAACAUAUAUAAUGAUGAUUAUAAUGCUGCUGUGAAUAGUAAUAAAAAUAAAAGGAAUAUGGUUGAAAAUAUGUAUAUGACAAAUAGUAAGAUAGAUAAUAAUCGAAUAGAAAUGGAAAAGGAAAAAUACUCAUUUGAAGGAAGUAUGCCACCAUACUCUGAUAAAAAGAAUGAAAAAAGAGAAUUUAUAGAAAAUAAUUAUGACAACAUGUUUGAUGAAAAAAAUAAUUUCCAUUAUAAAAAAGAAGUAGACACUACAAAUAAUAAUAUAACUACGAUAAAUAAUGACAAUAUAAAUUUAUAUACUAUGAUGAAUAAUAAUAAGGAAGAACAAAAUCCAAUUAACAACACUAACAGUGGUGAUAACCCGCCUUCAAAAUUAAACAAUUAUUAUUAUAGCUACCAUAGUAAUCUUAAUACUCCGCAAAAACAACAGAAUGAUGAAAAUGACUUACAUGAUAAUAAAAAAACUAUUAUUCAUGCAGAUUUAAAAAUGCUGAAUGAAAACCAACAAAUAGACAAUGUAUCUUAUACUUUACGAAAUUAUGAGAAUGAUUUGGCAAAACAGGAAAGGGAUGUUUUAUUUGAUCAUGAACAUAUGGAAGAGCUUGACAAUAAAAGUAUGGUUAGUCAAAAAAGUGUGGUUAGUCAAAAAAGUGUGGUUAGUCAGAAAAGUAUGGUUAGUCAAAAAAGUGUGGUUAGUCAGAAAAGUAUGGUUAGUCAAAAAAGUGUGGUUAGUCAGAAAAGUAUGGCUAACCAAAAAGGCAUGGAUAGUCAAAAAGGCAUGGAUAGUCAACAAAGCAUGGAUAGUCAAAAAGGCAUGGAUAGUCAAAAAGGCAUGGAUAGUCAACAAAAUAUGGAUAGUCAAAAAAACAUGGCUAGUCAACAAAGCAUGACUAGUCAACAAAGCAUGGCUAGUCAAAAAAGUAUGGAUAGUCAAAAAAACAUGGCUAGUCAACAAAUCGUGGAUAAUCAAAAAGGCAUGGAUAGUCAACAAAGAAUGGAUAGUCAACAAAGAAUGGAUAGCCAAAAAAGUAUGGAUAGUCANNNNNNNNNNAUGGAUAGUCAACAAAGAAUGGAUAGCCAAAAAAGUAUGGAUAGUCAAAAAAACAUGGCUAGUCAACAAAGCAUGGCUAGUCAACAAAGCAUGGAUAGCCAAAAAAGUCGGAUUACACACAAAAGUAGGACAAGUGUGGAAAGCCCCCAAAUCAUGGUUAGCAUUGGUAGCCACAACAUUGUUGAAGAUACUACCAAACAAAGUAAUACCAAAAUGUUAAAAGAAAAGGAACUAAUCGAAUAUGUUUCGAAUGCCUUAAAAUGUAGUUUACAUACACAGGAUAAUUCAUUUUAUACUAUUUUAAAAUCGGAGUCGGAAAAAAUAAACGCGUUUUACACUGGAAGAAAGGACUUAAUCAAUAUACUAUACAAUAGAAUAGAAGAAUUGAAAAAUAUGGGGUUAUUUUGUGUUGACGAAGAAGAAAAUGACAUAUGUAAUGGGCAUGGGCCUCUAAAUAUGCAUGAAAUGGACGUCACACAAAAUGAGUCUCCCGAAUUAUAUGGACUUAACAAACUCGAUGAAAAUAACAAAUUAGAAGUGAAUAACCUUUUGCAUAAUAUUACCAAUCGAAAUAAAAAACUAAAGAACGUAAUUGAAGAGUUAAUCAAGUCUUAUAGAAAUUUAAAAAUAAUAAAAAUGAAAAAUGAAAAAAAAAUCAAUAUUUAUAAAAGUAGAGAAAAGGAUUUAUUACAAGCCUUGAAUAUAUUAAAAGAAAGAGAAAAUAAAAAAGUAAAUUUAUUAAAAAAAAAAGAAAAACAUUAUAAACAAUUGCUACUAGAGAAAGAAGAGUUUUUUAAAAUAGAAAAAAACAAAAAUAAAGAAAAAAUGUUAUUAGAAAUAAAAGAAAAAGAUAUGUUAUUACAAAGUGAGAUGCAAAAGAUUGAACAAGAAUGUGAACAAAAAAUAGCUGCUGUUAAAGAUGAAUAUACAAAAAAAAAAAAUGAAGACAUUUUAACAUUAGAAAAUGAAAAAAAUGAGUUUAUAAAUAAUACAUUAGAAAAGGAAAUAAACAAAAUGAAACAAGAGUUGAGUUUAAGUUAUGAAGAAGAAAUGAAAAAAAAAGUAGAAGAUGUAAAAGAAAUCGCUGAAAAUAAUUAUUAUGCAAAAUUAGAAAAAUAUAAAGAAAAACAUGAAAAGAAUAAAAAUGAUUUUAUAAACAAUUUAAUUAUUGAAAAGAACAACGAAAUUGAAAAGUUAAAAAGUGAAAUAGAAAAUCAAAAAUUAAAAGAAAUUGAUGAAUUAAAGAAAGCAAAUGAACAAUUGUUACAUGAAAAUGUAGAAAAGAUAAAAAAUGAGUUACUAGCCGAACAUAAUGAAAAAAUAAAUACUACUACAAAAGAAAUAGAAUUAUUAAAAAAUGAGAUAAUGCAAAAAAAUGAAGAAAUUGAAAAUGUAAAACAACAGUUAGAACAAUAUUAUACGAACGAAAUGGAAACAUUAAAAAUAGAUUUACAAAAAAACUAUAAAAAUACAAUCGAAAAUAUAUUAACCGAAACGGUUAAAAAUGAAAAAGAAAAAAUGACCUUGUAUUAUGAAGAAAAAUUACGAACAGAACAAACAACAUUUCAAACAACAUUAGAUACACAACAAAAAGAGUUAUAUGAACAAUUAAACUCAGAAAAGAUUACAGAAACAGAAAAAUUAAGUAAACAAAUAAAUAAUUUAGAAACACAAAUCGAGUUAUUAAAUAAAGAAAAAAAUGAUUUACUCAUAAAUAUAUCAUUGUUAACAGAAGAAAAAAAUAAUGUGUUAAAUAUGGUUCAAAAUUUAGAGGAUAAUAUAAAAAAUAAUGAAGAUAUAUAUAGCAAAAAUCUAAAAAUAUUAAAUGAUGAGAAUGAUAAACUUCAAAAAGAAAAAAAAGAAAUGUUACAAAAACAAAAAAAAGAAUCAGAAGAUAUAAGAGAUCAUUUUGGUGAAUUAUUAGAAGAGGAAAUUAAAAGAAUAAAAAAUGAAUCCCAACAAAAAGUAAAUAGUUACACACAAAAAUAUGAACAAAUAAAUGAAGAAUAUGAAACGAAAAAAAAAGAGUAUACAGAAUUAUUAGAAAAAGUGAAUAAUAAAAAUAAAGAAUUAACUAUUAAAUAUGAAGAGAAUAUACAAAAAAUAAAUGAGUAUGAAGAUUUAAUUAAAACUUUAGAAAAUCAAACAAAAGAAGUUGUAAAGAAAAAAAUUGAACAGUUAAAUGAUGAAUUUUUAAAAAAAAAAGAAAAUAUUGAUAAUGAAAAGAAAAAAAUAAUGGACAAUUAUGAUCAGUUAAGUAAGGAAAAAGAAGCCAUAGAACAACAACUACAACAAGAAAUACAAUCAACUGAACAGAAAAACCAACAACAAAUAAACAAACUAACUAAUACAUACGAGGGUCAAAUUAACCAACUGCAAAUUGAACAUGACCACUUAUGUGACCAACUAAACGAACUUAAACAUGAAAAUGACGGAUUAUUGGAAAGUAGUAAUAAACUCAGAGAAGAAAUGGAACAAAGGGAGAAGCAGUAUAUUGAGGAGAUAAACAAUGUUAAAAACGAGUUAGUCAGCGCGAAAAAAGAGCUAGCUAGUGCUCAAAAUGAGCUAGCUAGUGCUCAAAAUGAGCUAGCUGGUGCUCAAAAUGAGCUAGCUAGUGCUCAAAAUGAGCUAGCUGGUGCUCAAAAUGAGCUAGUUAGUGCUCAAAAUGAGCUAGCUGGUGUUCAAAAUGAGCUAGCUGGUGCCCAAAACGAAUUAGUUAUCGCUAAAAACGAAUUAGUUGUCGCUAAAAACGAAUUAGUUGUCGCUAAAAACGAGUUAGUUGUCACUAAAAACGAGUUAGAUAACAUCCAAAACGAACUAACCAACACUAACCACCAGCUAAGUGACACAAAUGAACAACUCAGCAAGCAUAAAGAAGAACUUCAAAAUGAAUUAUCAGUUUUACAAAACAAAUAUGAUGAACUUGUGUCAAAAAAUGAUCAUUUAAAACAUGAAGAACAUGAAGAGUUAACAGAUAAAUUAAUAGACUUAGAAAAAAUUAAUAUAAAUUUACUGAAGGUAACAGAAACAGAAAGAGAAGUUAACAUAAAAAAUGUUAAUAUAAUUAAAUCAUUACAGGACCAAAUAAAUGAACAAACAAAAUUAUAUAAUGAAUGUACAAAUAAAUUAAGAAAUGAAAUAAAAAACCUUAAAAAAACUAAUUUUGAACAUGAUACCACUAACAAUAAUGAUAAUUCUUCUAAGUUAUUGUUAAUAGAAGAAAACAAAAAAUUAAAAUUACAAAAUGAAGUUAUAAAUACAAAAAAUGAAAGCAUGACAACUGUUAUGGAUAAUUUAACAAAACGGUUAAGCUUUAUUGAGUCAAAACUCAAAGAACAAGAAUAUGGGGCUCAAAUUAUAAAACAGGCAAAUGACUUACUAUUACAAGAGUUUAAGUGAUAUGUACAUGUACGAAUUUUAAUUAAAUACACAUAUGUACGUGUUCGUCUAUAUGUGUGUUGUAUAUAUAAUACUUAAGUUUCGCAUAUACCAAAAAAAAAAAAAAAAA